rnacentral:rRNA from 1 species
UACGGGGGGAGCAAGCGUUGUUCGGAUUUACUGGGCGUAAAGGGCGCGUAGGCGGUCAGCACAAGUCAGUUGUGAAAUCUCCGGGCUUAACUCGGAAAGGUCAACUGAUACUGUGCGACUAGAGUGCAGAAGGGGCAACUGGAAUUCUCGGUGUAGCGGUGAAAUGCGUAGAUAUCGAGAGGAACACCUGCGGCGAAGGCGGGUAGCUGGGCCGACACUGACGCUGAUGCGCGAAAGCCAGGGGAGCAAACGGG